AUGGACUCAAGUGAUCCACACAUCUUUGCCUCCCAAAUUGCUGGGAUAACACAUGUGAUUCAUGGUGCUCAGCCUAAAUCUUUGUUUCAUGAUCUUUUAGUUGAAAGAAAUCAAAACUUCAAUGCCAUUGGACACUUCAUGAAGAUGUGUCAAGAUAAGAUCCCAUUCCUGUUUCCCUCUGUGAUGAUGUCACUGAUCUGUUCUUGGAAUUGGAAGAGGAAUCAAGAAAGAACAGUAACAGAAAAGUGUAGUAUUUGGCCUCUUGACAGGAAGAGCUUCUUUUAUUUAUUCACUUUAAAAUGUUAUUCAUACAUAUUUGUGGAGUACAAUGUGGUGUUUUGAUGCUCGUAUACACUAUGUAAUGAUCAAACCAGGAUGAUUAGCAUAUCAUCACCUUAAACAUUUAUCAUUUCUUUGUGAUGAGGACAUUCAAAAACCUCUCUUCUAGCUAUUUUGAAAUACGCAAUACAUUAGCAUUUAUUCUAGUUAUCCUCCUAUGUCAUAGAAAAAUAUGUCAAGAGAACAAUGAGAGAUGUAAAUAAUAAUGGUUCUUUAGAGCCACCUAAGGUUUAGUAUCUCUCCAAGAAUCAAACUAAACCUUGAAAUAAAACAAAUGACUCCUUUAAAAGCUCAGAGUGCCUCUUUGGAAGUAUUGGCUGUUAUAUGGCCCAUUUUGCCAUGCAUUCAGAUAUUUUCCCAGAGUUCACACCAACUGACUGGUCAAGUAGCUGUGGGUGUUAGUAUUUGAGAAAAUAUUUCCCUGCAAGGCUUCUGCUACAUUUAGAAUAAAGUCCAGAUUCUUUGCCUUCACCUGGCCCUGAGAAGGCUCUGAUCUAUGUCUCCUACUCCUCUCUGCUCACUGCCUUCUGCUGUGCUCCUGUCUGUCAUUGGAGGGCUUUGUGGGUUUUAUCCAUCAGGUUGACAGGGCCAGCCCCUUCGUCAUGUCAGAGGGGCCUGAUGACUCUGUGUGAUAACUCAUUUACUACUUUUCUCCCUGAAUUCAUCACUGCCCACUAUCUGACCAGAUAGUGUGUACUAAUGUUUUUAUGGCUCACACCAGCAUGUGGGCUCCACAGGGUAAAAGAUUAUACCUGCUUGUCCAUCAUUUCACCUGAUGUAACAAGAACCAUAUCACAUAGGAAGGGUUUGAUACAUCCCUUAAGUUAAUUAAUAAUUAAUGUAAUUAUUUAAUUAAAUCAAUUAAAAUCAAGUUAGUUUUAAUUAAUUAAUACAUACCUUAAAUUAAUAUGGUAUGUAUUGAACCCUUCCUAUAUGAUAUGGUUCUUGUUAAUUAAGGUGAAUCAACUUCAGCAGCCUUCUAAUUGCUUUUGCUUGGAGAAAAUUUUCCAAAUGCCUUUUCUUGCAGAAAUUCUGGAGGCUAUUUUUUUUAGCUUGGUGUUUUCCUUUCACAAUUGUGGUUUGUUGUUUUUGUACAAGACUGAUCAAUGUGUUUAAUUUCUGCAGAAUAUACUAGGUCAUAUUAUAUUUUCUAGUAAAUAAGGAUGUACUGCAUCGAUGAUUGCUUAAUAUCAAAGUAAUGGUAGAAUCUCCAAAAAAAAAAUCAAAACCAAGCCACAAAAAUUAAUUUUAGUGCUCAUAUUCAGAGCAGAAAAAAAUUAUAGUUUUUUUUUAAAUUCAAGGAGAAAACCUGAUACUAGUGGAAAAAAUGAGUGAGAUGCAUCACAGACUGAAGAAUCUGCCUCCCAGAAUGAGCAACAACCCAUUUGAAGCAGUAAAAGGAAAUUCUAAGUAAUGAUCUGUUAAGUACUAUCUGCUAAUAUUUUCCCUGGAUCUGUAAUGUGGCAUGAACACUAGUUCCUUAAACUUGCAUUGCAUACCAAUAAACAUAAAUAAAUUACCACAAAUAAAUGUCCCCUGUAUUGCAUGCCAUAGCACUUCAUUCUGUGGGGACAUCCAGGCCAAAAUGAUGAGGAUCUUGUUCAGAGACUGGGUGACAUGAAUCAAAGCCUGAUUCAAAGAAAACUGGCUUCUAAGUUGUGUUCUUCCCUUCCUGGCUCUCUGACCUAAGACAUUUUUCUUGUUUGUUUUGCCUCACCAAGCCUCAAAGUACUCACUCAACAUGGAAUAAAUAUCAGAAUCAUAGUGUUGUAGUGAAGGUUAAGUUAUAUAUGUGGGAAAUGCAUUUACAAUUACUAAAUAUUGGUUAGCCUUAUAAUUCUAAUUAUUAUAAUUUUUAAAAUAUUCUAUGAACUUCAAUUUAAAAUAAGACACAGACACAGAUGUGAAUAAGUGUUAAUAAAAUGUGAUCAUAAGUACAACAGGAGUAGAAGUGUGGGGGAAGAGAUCUCAACUGUGCAUAAGAGAAGAUGGGAUGUAAAUUUUGAGUUAUGUUUACUGAUUAUGUGGGAUUCAGAUUGAUAGUCAUGAGCUAUAUAAAGGAGAACUUUCCAGAAGUGAGAAAUGGUCUGUAAUAAGGUUCAGAUGGGCAGGGAAAUAGAGGGCUAUAGAGAAAAGCGGGAGGUCUAGAGUGACUGUGGUAUUGAGCGUGAGUGACAGAAACAGGUAAAGGGAGACAUAAUGCACGCUUUAAAAGCAUGGGGAUAUGAGUUUAAGGUUCCAAAAUUUAGAUAAUCCAACAGGAACCAUAGAUUAUAGAAUGAUAAGAUCAAAUGUAUGUUUAGGGAAAUAACUCGAAUGGCAAAGAGUACACUAUAUUCUCAGGAAGAACUGGACUCAAGACAUGAAAACACUUAAGGUAGUAAGAAACUAGAAAAGGAUAUUGGGAGCUUGAAUUCGGGCAAUAAAUGAAAGGGGUAUAUUAAUAUAAGUUUCCAUUUUUUUUCCACAAAAAUCAGAACCCUUCUAUAACUCCAACUAUUGAUAGACUUGAAGUCACUUAAGUGAAUUAGUAACACAACCGUAGUAAAACUUUUGUUAAACACAACGUUCCAUUUAGUAACAUACAGUAACAUAGGAUUUCAUCCUGUGCAAAGUCAUAUAUAUAUUUUACACAUCAAAGCUGAAGCCUGAGAUCCCAGUAUCCAUUUUAUAUGUUGCAUGUUGUCUGUACCCUGUCACUGUCUCCAUGCCUUUAUGUAAAUAAUUUCUUUAAGUACAACUUUGAUAAAGUUAUUAUAUAGUGAUUUUAUUAAUUUGUAUGUAUAUAUAAAUGUGGGGUUUUCUUAUAUUCAUAUUCAGGUUAUUUAAUCUCAGUGUUUUUAUUGAAAUCAGCAAAAUCGUAAGUCAGAUAAGCUCUCCCUGAAUAGUUUUAUUAAAGGAUGUUAGGAUAAACUGGACUCCAAAUGUUAAUUGCAAUAAAUAUGCAUAUGCUAAAAAUGAGCCCACAGAUAAAGAAACACAUAAACACUACCUUAGCAUGAGUGUUUUACUUGUUAAUUUUCAGUUCAUCAGCAAUAUUGUAUAUACCAAAAAUAUGUUUGCAUACACCAUACAUGCACACACAUACGCAUAUAUAACUUCUGAAAACUACUGAUUAGGGAUGCUCUAAGGCUGUGCUGUCCAACACUGUAGACACUGACUAGGCACUUGAGAUAUGCUUUGUCCAAGCUGCACUGCACUCUAGCAUAAAACAAACACAAGACUUUGAAGACUUAGAAUGCAAACAGAGUAAAAGGCAACAUUAACAAAUUUGUGUUAUUACCUGAAGAAAUUCUAUAUCAAUAUAUGAGUAUAAAUAUUAUCACAGUAAUAGUAAUAUAGGUA
rnacentral:lncRNA from 1 species